GAGUUUGAUCCUGGCUCAGGAUGAACGCUGGCGGCGUGCUUAACACAUGCAAGUCGAACGAUGAAGACCGUGCUUGCACGGUUGGAUUAGUGGCGAACGGGUGAGUAUCACGUGAGUAACCUUCCCUUGACUCUGGGAUAAGCCCGGGAAACUGGGUCUAAUACCGGAUACGACCAGUCCUCGCAUGGGGUGCUGGUGGAAAGAUUUAUCGGUCUUGGAUGGACUCGCGGCCUAUCAGCUUGUUGGUGAGGUAAUAGCUCACCAAGGCGAUGACGGGUAGCCGGCCUGAGAGGGUGACCGGCCACACUGGGACUGAGACACGGCCCAGACUCCUACGGGAGGCAGCAGUGGGGAAUAUUGCACAAUGGGCGAAAGCCUGAUGCAGCGACGCCGCGUGCGGGAUGACGGCCUUCGGGUUGUAAACCGCUUUCAGCAGGGAAGAAGCGCAAGUGACGGUACCUGCAGAAGAAGCGCCGGCUAACUACGUGCCAGCAGCCGCGGUAAUACGUAGGGCGCGAGCGUUAUCCGGAAUUAUUGGGCGUAAAGAGCUCGUAGGCGGUUUGUCACGUCUGCUGUGAAAGCCCGGGGCUCAACCCCGGGUGUGCAGUGGGUACGGGCAGACUAGAGUGCAGUAGGGGAGACUGGAAUUCCUGGUGUAGCGGUGAAAUGCGCAGAUAUCAGGAGGAACACCGAUGGCGAAGGCAGGUCUCUGGGCUGUUACUGACGCUGAGGAGCGAAAGCAUGGGGAGCGAACAGGAUUAGAUACCCUGGUAGUCCAUGCCGUAAACGUUGGGCACUAGGUGUGGGGGACAUUCCACGUUUUCCGCGCCGUAGCUAACGCAUUAAGUGCCCCGCCUGGGGAGUACGGCCGCAAGGCUAAAACUCAAAGGAAUUGACGGGGGCCCGCACAAGCGGCGGAGCAUGCGGAUUAAUUCGAUGCAACGCGAAGAACCUUACCAAGGCUUGACAUGGACCGGACCGCUGCAGAGAUGCAGCUUCCCUUCGGGGUCGGUUCACAGGUGGUGCAUGGUUGUCGUCAGCUCGUGUCGUGAGAUGUUGGGUUAAGUCCCGCAACGAGCGCAACCCCUAUCCUAUGUUGCCAGCACGUAAUGGUGGGGACUCAUGGGAGACUGCCGGGGUCAACUCGGAGGAAGGUGGGGACGACGUCAAAUCAUCAUGCCCCUUAUGUCUUGGGCUUCACGCAUGCUACAAUGGCCGGUACAAUGGGUUGCGAUACUGUGAGGUGGAGCUAAUCCCUAAAAGCCGGUCUCAGUUCGGAUCGAAGUCUGCAACUCGACUUCGUGAAGUUGGAGUCGCUAGUAAUCGCAGAUCAGCAACGCUGCGGUGAAUACGUUCCCGGGCCUUGUACACACCGCCCGUCAAGUCACGAAAGUGGGUAACACCCGAAGCCGGUGGCCUAACCCUUGUGGGGGGAGCCGUCGAAGGUGGGACUCGCGAUUGGGACUAAGUCGUAACAAGGUAACC
rnacentral:rRNA from 1 species